rnacentral:lncRNA from 1 species
GGGCCUCAAAGUAUUCGGUAAGUAAAGUUCGAGAUUCGAUUCGAUACUAAACAAACCAAACUUGAACACACCACUAUUCGGUUCGGCUCGGUUCGAUUACACCCCUAAAUAUAAAACAUCCUUAUUCACCUCUCUCUAGUUUUUUCGUGAUCAUAUUUCUCUCUCUAAAACGUCGACAUUCAACUACAGCGCCUCAGAUUUUCUCUGCUGGUUUUUAAUUCCCUCUCAUAUUCGACCGUUUCCUUUUUCUGAGCUGCUCACAAAUGGCUUGAAGCUCGCAUUUUCGGUGUUCUGCUGCUGAUUUUUCAGGUAUUUUUGCUUCUUCAUUUUUGAAUUGCUAUGAGCUUGCUAUUCCUCGAAAUAUCUUGCUUUUGAGCUGGAUUUCUUGUGGAUCUGAGAAAUUACGCUACGUAUCUUUCUAUUUUUUUUCUUGGUUUUUUGCGGGAAUGUUUUAUUUCUUGCCGAGCUGUUCAAUUGGCCCUAUUUCCUUGGUUGUUGGAUCUUAAAGUAGUUUUUUAAGUUUAUAAUAUUCGAGUUUAUGCGUGUGAAGUUGAGAGUUCUGAUUUUUGCAAUGUUGUUGUUAUUAUGAUCAAUAUGCUUAUUAUCUAUGUUUGGGUAAGUUUGAGCAGUUUUUGAGCGCUUAUAGAUCUGUUGCUGUGAUUCAAUUGGCGCUUAUUAGCCAGGCAGGCGAGGUUCGUUUCGUCCCACCGAAUUUGCUAUGGAAUGAGGGACCCACACCACAACGUGACCCCCUUCACCUGUGUGGGCCCGCUUUCCAACCUAUGCACAACUCACUCUUACCUGAAUUCCACACAUUUUAGACUUUAUAUACACAAUUUUUGGUUUAAUAUAAUAGUAUUAUCAUUUGGGUUUUCUUGGAGUAUUUGGAUUUCGAUUUUAAAUUUAAAAAAUUGUGUGCACAAGACAAAAACCGCGUUAACAAAAAACUGGGCCCUUUGCCUUCUGUUUUUGACGCGUUCGUCUCAAUUCAUGUAACCUCAA